rnacentral:tRNA from 1 species
GGGAAUGAUUGCAAGGCUGGUGCCGGCCGCGGUCUUCAAAACCGCUGGGACUUGGUGACAAGUCCGGUGAGUUCGAUUCUCACGCGUUCCCG